rnacentral:rRNA from 1 species
UACAGAGGGUGCGAGCGUUGUCCGGAAUCACUGGGCGUAAAGGGCGCGUAGGCGGUCUCUUAAGCGUGUGGUGAAAGCCCGGGGCUCAACUCCGGGUCGGCCGUGCGAACUGGGGGACUUGAGCUUGUCAGAGGCAGGCGGAAUUCCGGGUGUAGCGGUGGAAUGCGUAGAGAUCCGGAAGAACACCGGUGGCGAAGGCGGCCUGCUGGGACAGUGCUGACGCUGAGGCGCGACAGCGUGGGGAGCAAACAGG